rnacentral:lncRNA from 13 species
GUGAGGUUUCAGCAGAGUGGGCAUGAGUUUUGGGGAUCCACCAAGAUUCCCUUUUUGGGUGCUAUCACCCUGACUUUACCUUGGGGAAUCUUUCUUUCCUUGUCAUUAGUCCACAUGGUUCUGAAGGGAUUAUUUCAUCCUUGACGCCAGAGGGUGUCACAGGACUCCGGAUUGGCCAAUGAGAUCAGCACAUUGCCCUGGCAACUGUGAUUGGUUUGGAACAAUCACAUGACUCAAGCCCGAGCCAUCAGAGCUGAUGAACCUUUUCCCUGGCACCACUGCUGGAACUGUCUGGAAUGAGACUCUUUCCUUUGGGAUGUCUGAGCAGGGAGGACGGGAGGCUAGAGCUUUGGGGGCCAUAUUGGUCAUGAUUUGGAAAGAGAAUGUAUGAGAGUGAAGCCAAUGCAAAGAUGAUGGUGGUUGGGGCUGUCUCAGCCUCCUGGACACUCAUGUCCUCCAGUGGGGUCAAGGGAGGGAGCAUCGAAGUUGAGAGUAACUGUCGGCCCCCGUGCUUGUAUUCUACACGGAUGCAUCUCCAAUCUCCUUCGCAGCUGCCUGGGUGUGAAGAUGCUCUGACCAUACCCAGGGCCGCAGAGUUCCUGUGGGAAGAGCCUGGAUACUUGAAUCGGACAGACUCAGGCCGGCAUCUGCCCUCUGCCUUGCCCUAGCCUUCCAUCUCAUCCCCAAGCCCUCGCAGCGGUAAAACAGCCCUUGUAUCACUGAGGCCUCCCCAGGCAGGGAUUCUCCCGGCUUGUUUACUCUGGAACCCUCCCCGUCUUGAAUCAAGUCAAUGCUCAAUAGACAUCUGUUGGAAGCGUGAACUAUUGAGCUGUUUGUGUGAACUACGGAGCUAUUAAAUGAGAUAAAAUGCGGUAAGGGCCUGUUACACAAUCAGGGCUUCAUAAACGAUCACAGCUGUAUUCAUAUAAAGCGCUUGGAACAGUGUCUGGAAAAUAGUACAAUUAAUAGUAAUUCAGGAUGUGAUGAUUAACUCUUCAGGCUUAUGAUACAAAUUCUGCAGUAACACUCACUCCUCUGGGCAUCUACCAUUUGCCAGGCAUCUUGUCAGGUGCUUUGCAAGCCAUCUUCCCAUUAGAUCUUCCUUGUGGCCUUGGGGGGCACUUGUAUUACCCCGUUUCACUGACUAGGAAACUAAGGUUCAGAGAUGCUAUGACUUACCCGUAAUUUUAUUUUUUUGUUUUUCAUUUUUCUGGAGACAGAGUCUAGCUCUGUCGCCCAGGCUGGAGUGCAGUGGUGCGGUCCUCACUGCAGCCUCCAACCUCUGGGCUCUAGUGAUCCUCCUACCUCAGCCUCCUGGGUAGCCAGGACUGCAGGCACACAUCAUUCCAUCUGGCUAUUUAAAAAUUUUUUUGUAGGGAUGCAGUCUCACUAUGUUGCCCAGGCUGGUCUCAAAUUCCCGGCCUCGAGUGAUCCUCCUGCCUUGGCCUCCUGAAGUGCAUGAACCAUAGUGCCAGG